rnacentral:rRNA from 1 species
GGGCCCGCACAAGCGGUGGAGCAUGUGGUUUAAUUCGAUGAUACGCGAGGAACCUUACCAGGACUUAAAUGUAAGUUGCAUGAUUCAGAAAUGAAUCUUUCUUCGGACUACUUACAAGGUGCUGCAUGGUUGUCGUCAGCUCGUGCCGUGAGGUGUCAGGUUAAGUCCUAUAACGAGCGCAACCCCUAUCGUUAGUUGCCAUCAAGUAAAGUUGGGAACUCUAGCGAAACUGCCGGUGCAAACCGUGAGGAAGGUGGGGAUGACGUCAAAUCAUCACGGCCCUUACGUUCUGGGCUACACACGUGCUACAAUGGCCGGUACAGAAAGCAGCCACUAUGCGAAUAGGAGCUAAAUCUUUAAAACCGGUCUCAGUUCGGAUCGCAGUCUGCAACUCGACUGCGUGAAGCUGGAAUCGCUAGUAAUCGGAUAUC